rnacentral:rRNA from 1 species
AUGCUGCACAAGAAGCCCGUCCAGAUUGGCCAACUGGCCGAUGAUGGAGAUGGAACAAACAAGGCGUGGACAGGGGAGAAGAGGCGCCGCAAGCACCUUCCCCUGUCAUCUUCCGAUGCUCUUGCCACUGCCCACGACCAUGGAGACAUGGAGGACACCACCCAAGGGUGCCAAGAUCCGAUUUCUCACGCGACAGACAUGGAGGGCACCAUCCAAGGGGGCCAAGAUCAGAUUUCGCAUGCGACAGACAUGGAGGGCACCAUCCAAGCGGGCCAAGAUUAUGAUCUGCUGCUGAAAACAGAGCCGGCACAAGAAGAAAGCGAGCAGUGUUUCGGGCCGCACUUCCUUCUCAGCAAGGAAGACCAGGCCAAGGAUUGUCAACUUUUGCUUGCCAAUAUUCAGAAGGAGGACGAGUAUCCUACUGACUUGCCACUUUAUUUGACAUGGGAGGAACACAACAAGAUAAAAGUGCGCCUUGCACGCUAUCGCAUCGCUCAUUACAAGGUUGUGAGGCCGGAGUGUGCACAUGAACUUAAGGAACCAUAA